AGAGUUUGAUCCUGGCUCAGGACGAACGCUAGCGGCGUGCUUAACACAUGCAAGUCGAACGAAGGGUAGAAAUACCCUUAGUGGCGGACGGGUGAGUAACGCGUGAGCAAUCUGCCCUUGUCAGGGGAAUAACACAUAGAAAUGUGUGCUAAUACCGCAUGACGUUACGAAGUGGCAUCACUUUGUAACCAAAGAAUUAUCGGACAAGGAUGAGCUCGCGUCCCAUUAGGUAGUUGGUGAGGUAACGGCUCACCAAGCCGACGAUGGGUAGCCGACCUGAGAGGGUGAUCGGCCACAUUGGAACUGAGAGACGGUCCAGACUCCGUACGGGAGCA
rnacentral:rRNA from 1 species